GUGAUUAAAAACUUUAUUGCUCACACAAAGCCUGUUUGGUGGUCUCUUCACAUGGACGCGUGUGACAUUUGGUGCUGAAGACCCAGACCAGGGGGACUCCUUCAGGAGACCGGCCCCCUGUCCUUGCCCUCACUCCGUGAGGAGAUCCAUCUAGGACGUCAGGUCCUCAGAACAGCCCAAGGAAUGUCUCACCAAUUUCAAAUCAGGACCCCACUGGAAAUUGGACUGUCCAACUUGCCUGGCAGCCACUCCCAGAGCCCCUGGAACUCUGGCCCAAGGCUGUCUGUCUGAUUCCUUCCCAGAUCUUCUUGGCAUGGCGGCUGAAGACUGACAGUGCCCAAUCACCUCGGAAGCCUCCUGGACCAUCACAGAUGCUUCAGGGAACUCUUACAGUGGAAGAUUCCCAGCCAUAUGAAGACACCCUAGCUGGACGAUCAGUUCUUGUUAAGAAUCUGACCCCUCAAACUCUACAACCUCAAUGGACCAGACCCUACUUAGUCAUCUAUAGUACCCCAACUGCCGUCCACCUGCAGGACCCUCCCCCUUGGGUUCACCAUUCCAGAAUAAAGCUGUGUCCCUCGGA